rnacentral:tRNA from 1 species
GUCACGGUAGCUCAGAGGUAGAGUGGCAUCCUUCCACUCAAAGUGUUCGGAGUUCGAUCCCCAUCCUUGACA